UGAAAUCAAAUCGAACUAUAUAAUUUGAUUGAGUCUAACAAGCCUGCACAUACCAUUUGAAAAUUGUGGGGAUAAAGAAUCAAACGAUACACAAUCCCAAAAAUUCACACAAGCGUGAAUAGGAACACAGGCACUGACAUCGCCAAACCAGCAGGCAUCAAAAGCUUUGAUCUGAGACCUACUCCCGAGGUCACUGUUUUGAUCAUGAUCCUAAAUUUGCAAUCUCCAGUAGAUGGGUCUUUAUUAGUGAUAACUGAGACAUUGGGGAACUGGCAGGCACUCUCAAGCUGAUUGUUCUGUUGAUAGUAACUGUUAAAUGCAUAAGAGAUAUUCCCUCGUGCAUCCAGAUUUCCACAAGAAGUCCCAUACCCUAAGGCAGUGCAGUCAGCAUUAGCACAAGCAUAAUUCACACUAGGUUCAACUUGUGGGUCAUCAAGGCUUGCCGAUGGCGACAUUAUACACCAUUGUUGAGCUAAAUAUUGUACACCCCUUGCUGGUACCAGACUGUUAGAACUUGUUGUCCCCAUAGUUAGUGUGUACUUGGGCUGUCCGUCGAAGUAAAAUAAUCCCCAAUGGCGCUCAAAGUUACCUGGUUGAAUGCUCUUGGCAUCUUCAUCAACGAGGCUAAAUAAAUAGGCAUCCAGGGGACCAGGUCUCAGUGGGGUUCCCUGCCCGGCAAUGAUACGGUUCAUAAAUCCUUGGUUGAACUGCUGGGCAUUCUUCAAGUUGGCAUUUUUGUCUCCAUCCGUAGGCCACCCGAUUUCUCCAAUGAUAAUGGACAAGUUUUCGUAUCCAUUUUUCUGUAAUGCCCACACAAGUGUAUCAUGAUUCGCAUCAAAAACAUUCUUGUAGAUUGUUCCACCAUCAUUUAUAGCAGAUGAAUUGCUGUCGAAGAAUGCAUAGGCAAUAGGGAAAUUGGGAUCCUCAUAUAGGCUUAUAAAAGGAUAGAUGUUCACAGUAAAUGGAGCUCCAUUUUCGCUCAAGAACUUGACGAUUGAUAAC
rnacentral:misc_RNA from 1 species